rnacentral:lncRNA from 1 species
AAAACAUCAGAAUGAAAAUCCAGCCAGCAAAUGCAGUUUCUCCUGGAAUAGAAGCGUCGUCCCCUGAAGGUGGCCGAGUCUGAUUACCUCGCUCGUCUCCUCCAUGGUAACCUGUGAUACUACCCCAACAGAGACACUGGGAUGUGCAUAUCCCUUGAGAUUCCUGGAACAAAUCUUUGUCCUCGUUCCCAGCUGAAAGGUGACCUCCGGCGUGAAACUGGAUGAGUAUCUGCUUGUUUAUCUGCAAAAGGGGAGUCAUGAGGUCCCUACACCAUCACACGCUGUGAGGAUGAAAUGGAGUUGGCACAAGGCACCUAACUGCAGGCUUACCUAUGCUGUUCUUACCAUCAUCGUAUCCAGUAGUAAGAUGACUCCCAAGUCACCCUCCCACUCAGGAGAGCUUGCCACCUGCCAAUCGCAGGCAUCGCCGCGUUUUUCAGCUUUUUUGCAAUCAAUCUCAGGGACAGCUCCAGUGGACUUUGGCAUACACGUGGAUCUUCUUCUAUUUCCCAACUUUAACUUACUGUCUCAUUUCAAGAACUCUCUCCCUUCAGUUCCCCCUCCAUAAAUGAAGGAAAGGAUAAAAGAUUGAACCUCAGAAAAACACAAUGCCAGAAGACACAAUGUUUGGACCUUUUAACUCUGUUUUUACAUUUUUAUGUUGAGACAGUUUUUUAAAAAAAAUUUAAUGUAUCAUCAUCGUCGUGUG